UACGUAGGGGGCAAGCGUUGUUCGGAAUUACUGGGCGUAAAGCGCGUGUAGGCGGCUGCGCAAGUCGGAUGUGAAAUCCCAUGGCUCAACCAUGGAAGUGCACCCGAAACUGCGUAGCUAGAGUCUCGGAGAGGAAGGCGGAAUGCUUGGUGUAGAGGUGAAAUUCGUAGAUAUCAAGCGGAACACCGGUGGCGAAGGCGGCCUUCUGGACGAUGACUGACGCUGAGACGCGAAAGCGUGGGGAGCAAACAGG
rnacentral:rRNA from 1 species